AUGUCGCUGCUAUCGAAGUUACGGUUGGUCACUGUGGAUGUGACUGGUACUCUGCUUGCUUACAAAGGACGGCUUGGUGAUUACUACUGCAUGGCUGCUAAGGCUGCCGGAAAGCCAUGCCCUGAUUAUGAUCGAAUGCAUGAAGGCUUCAAGCUUGCAUACACUGAGAUGGCAAGGAAAUACCCAUGCUUUGGAUUUGCGGCAAAGAUGCCAACGAUCGAAUGGUGGAGGAUUUGCGUUAAGGAUUCAUUUGUUAAGGCUGGCUAUGAUUACGAUGAUGAGACAUUUGAGAAAGUGUUCAAGCGUAUUUAUUCUGCCUUCGGCUCCUCUGCGCCAUACUCAGUGUUUCCUGAUGCACAGCCCUUCAUGAGAGGGCUGAGGGAGAAGGGUAUCACAGUUGGCAUCGUCAGCAAUGCAGAGUACCGUUACAAAGAGGUCAUCUUGCCUGCGUUAGGGCUGAAUCAGGGCUCGGAGUGGGACUUCGGGGUGUUCUCAGGCAUCGUCGGCGUCGAGAAGCCCGACCCAACGAUCUACAAGAUCGCGCUAGAGAUGGCGGGGAACGUCGCACCAGAAGAGGCGCUCCACAUUGGCGACAGCUACCGCAAGGACUAUGUCCCCGCACGAAGCAUCGGGAUGCACGCGCUGCUCCUGGACCGGUUCAAGACCGCCGAAGCCGAGAGCUGGAGGAAGUCUGGCGCACCGGUCCUCCCUGACCUCGAGGCCGCGCAGGCAUGGCUCACCAAGAACCCGACCGAGGAACCCGCUGAGGAGCCACUAGGGGCCGCGCUGCUGCGCAGGAUGGCCGAGAAGCUCUGA
rnacentral:rRNA from 1 species